rnacentral:rRNA from 1 species
CUUGGUCAUUUAGAGGAAGUAAAAGUCGUAACAAGGUUUCCGUAGGUGAACCUGCGGAAGGAUCAUUAUUGAUUUUUAAAGAUGUGCUGGCACUCCUUCACCGGUUUGCAUGUGCACUCUGCAAAAUCUCCUUCUCUUACCCCACUGUGCACACCCAAGUAGACAAACAGAGUUACAGAGCAAUCUGUGUAAUUCCUGAUUUGCCUAUGUUUUUAUCAAACACCAAUAACAAUAUCAGAAUGAUCUAUAUAGUAAGCUUUUAACAAGCUGAAAUUUAAUACAACUUUCAACAAUGGAUCUCUUGGUUCUCGCAUCGAUGAAGAACGCAGCGAAUUGCGAUAUGUAAUGUGAAUUGCAGAAUUCAGUGAAUCAUCGAAUCUUUGAACGCACCUUGCACCCUCUGGCAUUCCGGAGGGUAUGCCUGUUUGAGUGUCAUUAAUCUCUCAACACAAGAAACUUUGUCUUCUUGUGCUUGGAUAUUGAAGGUUUUGCUGGCGCAAACAACUGUCAGCUCCUUUUAAAUGUAUUAGCAGAGCAGUAUGGGACUGGCCUCGGUUUGAUAAGAAACUUUAUCUAUGCUGUCGCUGGGUUUUCCUCUUUGUGCUCAGCUUCAAAUUGUCUUCGGACUGUCUCUUGAGGCAACAAAAUUUCUAUUGAUCGACCUCAAAUCAGGUAGGACUACCCGCUGAACUUAAGCAUAUCAAUAAGCGGAGGA